ACUUGUGGGAAUGGUACAGAGGAAUACAUCAGGCAGUGUGAUAACCCUGCUCCUUCUCAUGCAGGAAAACGAUGUGCAGGUCCCUCAACGAAACAAAUUCCAUGCGCUGCUCCGCCAUGUGUUAUAAAUGGACACUGGGGUUCGUGGUCGCACUGGGGCGCAUGUUCCGUAACUUGUGGUAGUGGUUCUAUACAUCGGAUUCGAUAUUGUAACAAUCCUUCACCACAACAUGGAGGUCAUUCUUGUUCUGGACCAAGAAAGGAGAGCAAACAUUGUCAUCAAAUCGCAUGCCCGAUUGAUGGACAUUGGAAUAAUUGGUCUUCAUGGGAACAGUGCUCAGUAACUUGCGGUAACGGAACACGUAGCCGAAGUCGUCGUUGCAGUAACCCAACGCCCAGUAA